CAGAGCAUUCUAAUAGGAAGCUCAUCACCACAUUUUCAGGAUCUUAUGGCACAAAGCACUGCGCAGAAGCUGCACCAAUCCUUGCUGUCCCUGGCAGCAGAAUGGUAGAAGGUGGGAGAGACCAGGAAUCCUUCCAGGCUGAGCUGACUUUAGAAAUGAGGAUUGCACACGUUUGUCUCCUGAACCAAAAGGAGAUAAGCAGCAGAAUUUAUCAGGCGUGAAAGGGACAGCCUCCUGGUGGCCUGCCAAAAACCCAGAAUAAAGGCGAAGUUGUGCUUCAAAGCUCAGUCGCUUGCUGAGUCUGGCUAAAGUCAAGUAUUAAGAUCCACCAUUUUCUGAGCCAUGCUAGAAAAGAAGAAAAAAGUCAGGACGGUUGCUGCUUUCCAAGUCUCCGUUGGCACCAUCACAAAAUCUCAGUCGUAGGGUCACAUGAUUCUCUGCCAAAUGUAGAGUGCAUUCCCAUCAACCAUUCUGCUGAUACUGCGAAGGCAGCUAUUGUCUCGUUUAGACCCAAAGUUCAGCCCACUCUUCAUUGAAUUAGCUGAAAAACGCAUCACCUUUGGGGGCUGGGAGUCAUGGAAACGUCUACCUGGCAAGCUGCCCACUUUUUCUGCCCAUCAACCAGAGAUGGAAUUGUGCUGCCUAAUGCAAUGAUGACUUGGAAUGUGAAGACUCGUCCAAAGUGAAUCUGAUUCUUGCAACGCCUGUUUCAGUUUGCACAGAAAACUCUGGCUUCUUUUAUUUAAGGUUGGGGUGGGGGGAGGAAAU